rnacentral:lncRNA from 1 species
CCCCCCCACUCUGAGGGUGUGUGAGCCGAGAGCCCAAAAAUGGAGACCCCAAAAUGGAGACCCCAAAAUGAGAGCCCAAAUCUGAGACCCCAAAAUCUGAGACCCCAAAAUGAGACCCCAAAAUGAGAGUCCAAAAAUGGAGACCCCAAAAUGAGAGCCCAAAAUGAGAGCCCAAAUCUGAGACCCCAAAAUCUGAGACCCCAAAAUGAGACCCCAAAAUCUGAGAGCCCAAAAUGAGAGCCCCCAAAAUGAGAGCCCCAAAAUGACCCCAAAUCUGAGAGCCCAAAAUCUGAGACCCCAAAAUGAGCCCAAAUCUGAGACCCCAAAAUGAGAGCCCCCAAAAUGAGAGCCCCAAAUCUGAGACCACAAAAUGAGAGCCGAAAAUGAGACCCCAAAAUGAGACCCGAAACUGGAGACCCCAAAAUGAGCCCAAAUCUGAGACCCCAAAAUCUGAGAGCCCAAAUGGAGACCCCAAACUGAGAGCCCAAAUCUGAGACCCCAAAAUGAGAGCCCAAAUCUGAGAGCCCAAAAUGAGAGCCCAAAAUGGAGACCCCAAAAUGAGCCCAAAUCUGAGAGCCCAAAAUCUGAGACCCCAAAAUGAGCCCAAAUCUGAGACCCCAAAAUGAGAGCCCCCAAAAUGAGAGCCCCAAAUCUGAGACCACAAAAUGAGAGCCCAAAAUGAGAGCCCAAAAUGAGACCCGAAACUGGAGACCCCAAAAUGAGCCCAAAUCUGAGACCACAAAAUCUGAGAGCCCAAAAAUGGAGACCCCAAACUGAGAGCCCAAAUCUGAGACCCCAAAAUGAGACCCCAAAAUGAGAGCCCAAAUCUGAGAGCCCAAAAUGAGAGUCCAAAACCGAGACCCCAAAAUGAGACCCCAAAAUGAGACCCCAAAAUCUGAGAGCCCAAAAUGAGACCCCAAAAAUGGAGACCCCAAAACGAGAGCCCCAAAUCUGAGACCACAAAAUGAGAGCCCAAAAUGAGAGCCCAAACCGAGACCCCAAAAUCUGAGAGCCCAAAAUGAGUCCAAAACCGAGACCCCAAAAUGAGACCCCAAAAUCUGAGAGCCCAAAAUGAGACCCCAAAAAUGGAGACCCCAAAAUGAGAGCCCAAAUCUGAGACCCCAAAAUGAGACCCAAAUCUGAGACCCCAAAAUCUGAGACCACAAAAUGAGACCCCAAAAUCUGAGACCCCAAAAUGAGAGCCCAAAGUGGAGAUCCCAAAAUGAGUCCAAAUCUGAGAGCCCAAACUGAGACCCCAAAAUGAGAGCCCAAAUCUGAGACCCCAAAAUGAGAGUCCGAAAAUGGAGACCCCAAAAUGAGAGCCCAAACUGAGACCCCAAAAUGAGAGUCCAAAAACGGAGACCCCAAAAUGAGACCCCAAAAUCUGAGAGCCCAAAAUGAGACCCCAAAAAUGGAGACCCCAAAAUGAGAGCCCAAAAUGAGACCCCAAAAUCUGAGACCACAAAAUGAGAGCCCAAAAAUGGAGACCCCAAACCGAGAGCCCAAAAUGAGACCCCAAAAAUGGAGACCCCAAAAUCUGACAGCCCAAACCAAGACCCCAAAAUGAGAGCCCAAAUCUGAGACCCCAAAAUCUGAGACCCCAAAAUGAGAGCCCAAAUCUGAGACCCCAAAAUGAGAGUCCGAAAAUUGAGACCCCAAAAUGAGAGCCCAAAUCUGAGACCCAAAAUCUGAGACCCCAAACUGCGGUCCCAAAAACGGAGGCUCCAAAGUGAGACCCCCAAAUUGAUAUCCAAAACGGAGACCCCAAAACUGAGACCCCAAAACUGAGACCCCAAAAGUUGAGACCCCAAAGGGAGUUCCUAAAAACUCAGGACCCCAAAGUGAGACCCCAAAACCGAGACCCCAAACUGCGGUUCCCAAAACCGAGACCCCAAAACUGAAACCCAAAACGGAGACCCCAAACCGCGGUCCCAAAAACGGAGACCCCAAAACAGAGACCCCAAAUGGAGACCCCCGGAGCUGAAAUCUCCCAGCAGACACUCCACAGACAGAGCCCCCCCCCCCCCAAAUUGCCGAGACCCCAAAAUGGGGACCCCCC